rnacentral:rRNA from 1 species
UACGUGAGGGUGCAAGCGUUGUCCGGAAUUUAUUGGGCGUAAAGAGCUCGUAGGCGGUUUGUCGCGUCUGCUGUGAAAACUCGGGCUUAACUCCGGGCCUGCAGUGGGUACGGGCAGACUAGAGUGCGGUAGGGGAGAACUGGAAUUCCUGGUGUAGCGGUGAAAUGCGCAGAUAUCAGGAGGAACACCGUGGCGAAGGCGGGUCUCUGGGCCGUAACUGACGCUGAGGAGCGAAAGCGUGGGGAGCGAACAGGAUUAGACUACC